rnacentral:pre_miRNA from 1 species
CUUCAUUUCACACACUCUCUCACCGGUCAGAGUAGCGAGAGAGUGUGUGAAAUGAAGAGA